UCCCAUCAACAUAAAUCUUGUGCUAUUUCCAGAAUCCUCUCUUGACAAUUCCCUCCACUCAUUAGAGUGAGCAAAAUGUGGCGAAACAUUCUCUUCAUACUACUAGUCCUCAAAGGAGUGCAGUCUCAGGGACAGUUGGUAGAAUCUGGAGGGGAUGUGAGAAGACAUGGAGGGUCCCUCCGUCUCUCCUGCCAAGGUUCUGGAUACAACUUUGGUGGCUACAGCUUGAGCUGGGUGAGACAGGCUCCAGGGAAAGGACUGGAAUGGAUUGCACGCAUCUAUCAUGAUUCCAGUGGAAAGUUCUCCUCCGACAAAGUGAAGGGCCGCUUCACUAUCUCCAGGGACAAUGCCAAAAGCCAGCUGUAUCUGCAGAUGAGCAGCCUCAAAGCUGAAGACACUGCAGUCUAUUACUGUAUGCAGGAGAUCUCAUUAAAAAAUCUUCCUUUUAGGAGUGCAGUCUCAAGUGCAGCUGGUGGAGUCUGGAGGGGAUGUGAGAAGACCUGGAGGGUCCCUCGGUCUCACCUGCCAAGCCUCUGGAUUCACCUUCAGCAGCUAUUGGAUGGGCUGGGUGAGACAGGCUCCAGGAAAAGGCCUGGAAUGGGUUGCAAGCAUGGGUACAUCUAG